rnacentral:tRNA from 1 species
GGCAAGAUGGCCGAGUGGUUAAGGCGCUGUGUUUAGGUAUUGUCUCAAUACUAUAACGUCCGCAGUGGGAAACCGCGUGGGUUCGAGUCCCACUCUUGUCA